rnacentral:lncRNA from 1 species
CUUGAUAAUAAAGAAAUAUUUUUCCUAAUUUGGGUCAUAAACCCAACAAUCUUUACUUUGAUUCAAAUUUCGGUGCAACAAACCAAGCUCCAAAAUUUCUCCACUUAGAAAAAUAUGUCCAACUACAUCGAACUAAUUGAGCUCUUCAAAACAGCAACCAAAACUCUCCAUCACAAAACAUCUUCCUCUUCCCGGAGUCCACAAGCGAUACUUGAACCCUAUUCACAGGUUCCCAAAAUUCUACCAGGGAAUUACUGUUGAAAAAACAGGAUCGAAGCACCUUUUUAGCAGAAACCACACCAAAUGCCUAAUCAAAAGACCCUAUGCCAGAAUUGUUGCCUUCAAUGAUCCCAAAAGCUUCACAAACAUCACUGUACCUACGCUCCAUGAGUCCAACCCUGACAAUUGAACACAGUGUAUCCACUGAAAUUGGUGACUAAACAGAAUCACCAAUGCUCCCUUGAGUAAUGUUUUGAACCGACCCAGAGCCCGUCACAAAAGGUACUGUACCAAACUGAAUUUCACUUCGCCACUAAACUUUUUUAGAUAGCUCUUAACUUGUUCCGUGCUCCCCUGUAAGAUGUACAUUUGAGACUUUUUUCGCCCAUCCAGUACAACUUGGACACCCCUUUGGACCUUCAAGACUCCACUUCCACCUCCACCACAGAAUUUAUACCCUUUUGAAUUCAAGGUACUCAACGAAAUGAGAUUCUUCUUCAGGUCUACAGCAUGUCGAACCUAAUCAAUCAUUUUGACCAUCCCAUCUUGCAAUCUCAAUCUGACUCGAUCAAUUCCAGCAAUGUGGCAAGACUGGUUGUUUCCCAUGACAACUCUACCUUGCUUCUAGCCUCAUAUGUCUGAAAUAAAUUCCAAUUGAAACACAUAUAAUGCGAACAUGCCAAAUCGAGAAUCCAUUUCUCUUCAGGUUUAGACUCCAUGUUAGAUACCACGGUUAACAGCACAUCACCGCCAUUCGAAAAAUCCUCAACAAAAUUGGUCUCGUCGGAAGUACAUGAUCGCCUCCCAUGAUUUGCAGCUAAAUUACCUUUAGCAUGCGACUUAUCGCAAUCUUUCUUAACGUGUCCUUUCCUCCUGCAGUAGAAGCAGUACAAAUGGUUGACGUUCAUCCUCGAUCUACCCCUCCGUCGAUCACUAUGAGAUACUAGAGCUUCCUCAUCCCUUGAUGUAGUUCCAACCAAAUGCUUCAUUUUCUCUUUUGAGAACAAAGCAUUUUAGACAUCCUCAAUGGUCAAAGUAUCACUACUGUAUAGAAUGGUGUCCCAAAACGAUAAAUAAGAUGUGGGCAACGAACACAAUAGGAUCAAGGUCGGAUCCUCCUCAUCAUACUUAACCUCCAUUGUCUCUAAGUCUACAACUAUCUCUUUGAACACAGCAAUGUGGUCUUCAAGUGACCCUCCUUCUGCCAUGUAAUGGGAAUACAACUUUUGUUUUAGAGCCAAUUUGCUAGUGAGACUUUUAGUUAUGCAUAACUACUCCAGUUUCAACCACAAAGCAGUCGCUAUUUUCUCUUUCAAGACGUCCUGUAGAAUAUUAUUGGACAAGUGAAGAUGAAUAUGCGAUAAAACAUUUUGAUCCCUCCGUUGUUCCUCAUUCGUUGUCCAAUUAACUGGCAUCUUCUCAAAAUUCAGCAACGCAUCAUCCAAACCAACUGCACCAGAU